rnacentral:rRNA from 2 species
GRRAUGGGUAAUUUGGCAGAGAUGCCUUAGUGCCUUCGGGAACCGUGAGACAGGUGCUGCAUGGCUGUCGUCAGCUGUGAAGUGAAAUGUUGGGUUAAGUCCCGCAACGAGCGCAACCCUUAUCCUUUGUUGCCAGCGGUCCGGCCGGGAACUCAAAGGAGACUGCCAGUGAUAAACUGGAGGAAGGUGGGGAUGACGUCAAGUCAUCAUGGCCCUUACGACCAGGGCUACACACGUGCUACAAUGGCAUAUACAAAGAGAAGCGACCUCGCGAGAGCAAGCGGACCUCAUAAAGUAUGUCGUAGUCCGGAUUGGAGUCUGCAACUCGACUCCAUGAAGUCGGAAUCGCUAGUAAUCGUGGAUCAGAAUGCCACGGUGAAUACGUUCCCGGGUCUUGUACACACCGA